UUGGCGGAGGUUUGGAAAUCUUUCUUAUUGGUCUAUUGAUGUCAACAGGCAGGCCAAAACUCCAUACCACCACUAUCAAAAUUUUCACAGUAUUAUAUGCCAACCUCAGUGUGGAAAUAUUAAUACAUGUUUUUGGCUGCACUGGGUCUAAAGAGUUUAACCUUAGCAUCAGGUACUCUGUUGUGUUUAAAGUAUCUCCAUUUAAAGGCCCAGUGCAGUCACAAAAUUCCAGUGUUAUUUCGACCUCAAUGUACUCAUUUUGAGAAUUACAUGUACUUUGAAACUUAAGUAUAUUUAAAACCAAGUGCUUUUUGACUUUUACUCAACCCUGUUUGAACGCAAUUGUUACGCUAACUCUGUAUUCACAAUGUACAACACUCAGUGAGUCAACUCAAAUCCAGCUAACUGGAAUUUGUCUUUCAGCAUAAAAAUAUCCUGCCUCUUCUUCACCAGUGAAUCAGGCAGCACUUCAGGGUCAUCGCUGAUGAAAGGCCUGCAAAAUGACAAGGAGGGGAUACUUGAGGACAAAGAGUAUGCGAUUGAGACAAAGACACACAUACACAGGACAGGCAGGUGAACAUCGACUGGCAGAGAAGCAGCUGAACUGGUUCCCCCCUAGCCCUUCUAGUUUGAUGCUGAAAGAGGUGCCUGCUGCAUUUGCUAAACUGGUGGUGCAGGUUGUAAAAAUACUCUAGCCUGGUCCCAGAUCCCUCUAGCCUGGUCUUGCUAACUCAUAAUGUAUGAUAGUUGUCAUGCCAUGUUUCCAUAGGAGUUGGCUAUAUAGUACAAACAGAUCAUAGACCAAACUAACAUUUGGCUGAUUUUCAGAACCGAAGGUGAAACUUCAGUGUACUUGAGGACUACUCUAGAAAUUGUUGGCUUUGUUGCAAGAUAGAAAGGAGAAUAAGCCAUGGUUUGCUUGUGUGUCACCUGAAUGUGAGGGCAAGCGGUUAUGUAUGAUAUGGUUAUGAUAGUAAUGUAGGCCCUAACAUGCACUUUGUUUUCAGGUUUGAAUGAGACAAUAUAUUCCCCUAACCUUAUUAUUUUAAUAAAGUUAUUGUUUAUGAAUAUUA